GGGUACCUGGGCGCAAGAUGAUCCAGCGAUGCCCGCGUGGGGGAUGACGGCCUUCGGGUUGUAAUCUCNUUUCGNCAGGGACCAAGCGCANGUGACNGUACCUGNANAAGAAGCACCGGNUAANUACGUGCCNGCNGCCGCGGUAAUACGUAGGGUGCGAGCGUUGUCCGGAAUUACUGGGCGUAAAGAGCUCGUAGGUGGUUUGUCGCGUCGUUUGUGNAAUNUUUUNGCUUAACUGNGGGGNUGCAGGCGAUACGGGCAUAACUUGAGUGCUGUAGGGGAGACUGGAAUUCCUGGUGUAGCGGUGGAAUGCGCAGAUAUCAGGAGGAACACCGAUGGCGAAGGCAGGUCUCUGGGCAGUAACUGACGCUGAGGAGCGAAAGCAUGGGUAGCGAACAGGAUUAGAUACCCUGGUAGUCCAUGCCGUAAACGGUGGGCGCUAGGUGUGAGUCCCUUCCACGGGGUUCGUGCCNUAGCUAACGCAUUAAGNGCCCCGCCUGGGGAGUACCGCCGCAAGGNUAAAACUCA
rnacentral:rRNA from 1 species